GCGUGGGUUUGGAUUUAUGUCAGGCCCGUCCCCCUGGAUCUCUCAUAUUCCCCCAUGCCAAAGAAAAUCCUGGCCUUGAACCACUGCCUGGCCUUUGCCAAUAGGCUGUAAACACAGAAGUGGGAGGAAAAAGU